CUCUCUCUCACCGUGCAUCUCUCUUUCUCUUUCUCGUCCAGUGCAUAGCCACCGAGUGCACCACCUCCCGUCGCACGCCGCGCCGUCGCACUUCACCAUCUCGGUGACGAUUAAUAUUUGUUCGGUAUUUUUGAGGAAAGUUCUAAAACGCUAAGAAGUCCAGAUGAUUUUUGAAUAGACCAGCUAAGGAUCAGGAUUAUGGAGUA